UCUAUUGUCAAGAGUGCGUUUCUUAUUGAUUAAAAAGAUGUUUUUAGAUUCUUACAGUUAUCAACCUUUGCCUGAAGAUUUGGAGGCAAUGUCAGAUGGACAGGCAGGAUUUGUAAAUCCAAAAAAAUUGGAUUAUUUUAAAUAUCGCGGCAAGGAAAAAUGCCUGUUGGAGCAGGAUGAAUGCGCAAAAAUAAAAUUUGGAAGAUCCAUCAUAAAAAAUCACAUAAAUCCUGCACAUAAACAAAUCAUGGAGAAGAUUCGGACAUUUUACGAUAUUUUGUGCGAUCGCAUUAACAGUGAGCGAUUAAUUGAAGAUCGGGACGACUGUGAAUUGUAUGAUGACAUUAUUGAUCGUCCAACGAACAUCAGAAAAAAUGAAGGCUUCAGCAAGAACGAAGGUGGCAUAGAAAAUUCAAACACCAUUGCAUAUAAUAUUGGACACACCAUUGGAUACACCAUUGGUUGUGCCAUUAGAGAUACAAAGAAAUUUAAAAAAGCCGGAUCUUUUUUUAAGGCCGUAUGGAAGCCAGUGACGAGAUCAGCAGAGAAGUUAUGGAGAGGAAUGAAAAAUGGAGAAACUGAAUAUAUUCAGUUUGAUUAAUGAUCUCUUUGUCUCCAUUAUUUGAGUCAAGUAUCCAUCUGCUUGAUUUGGUCCGAGUACGUCUCGGAAAUGGCGUUUUGGCCAUGGUAAC
rnacentral:misc_RNA from 1 species